UCAGAGUCUUAAAAUGGAUUUUUAUUAAAUAUUGCUCUGUGUAUUUAUAUCCGCUGAUGCACGCCAUCAAUAAUCAUCCCUUCUGGCUGCCAAGACAAUUUCAGCUGAAUAUUUCAGUGUGAAUUCUGCUUUUUCUCAGUAAAUAAAUCCUAACCCAAUAAUAAUUUUCACACGUCUGUUUCCAAGGAUUUUGUCUCUGAAGCCACGUGCUUGUCUUGCGAUGAGCCUGUUCUCAGGAUGUAGAGGAUGAACAGACAGGGGAUGUAGGAGAUAAACCGCAGGACGCUCGGAACGCCGAGGUAGAUAUGCCUGCAGAGCAUUACACACAUGAAAGAAAAAUAUAUACAUCACAAAAUUUAUGGGAAAUCAGCAAGAGAUAUUUGUAAAUAUUAUUAUUGACGUACCCAGAUUAUUUCUAAACAACACAGUGAAUUGAAAACUGAAUUGCAAAAUUUAGACCAAAAAAAGGUUUGAGAAAUUCUACAAUAUAAUCACAGCUUGCCUAUUCUCUCCCGCAUUCAUUGCAAGUCAGAGUUAUUCACCAAGAUUUGGUCGGAAUAGGAAAAUCAAAUGAAAAUUGCACAAUCCUGACCGCAUUGGCAAAUUGCAGAUUUACUAAAGCAUAACGCGGUCAGGAUUCAAUCAGUUCAACCGUUUCUGUAAAAUUUGUCUAGAAGCAUACAGAAAAUCUGUGAUAUCUACAUCCAAACCAAUUAACAGCCUCGGAAUCAGAGAUUUAUCAAUGGCUGCAUGCAAACGUAUCUCGUAGGAUGAAUGUUCGCAAAAUUUAAUUCACUUGCUUUUUGUAAAUUAAUGAUAAUUUAAAGGACUAUUAGCCCGCUGGGCUACUUUAAAUAGCAAUGGGGAGGAUCUAGUAUACCCCAAAGCCUCCCCAUAGCUAUUUAAAGUAGCCAAGUGGGCAAAAAGUCCUUUAAAUUAUGAUUCAUUUGCAAAAAGCAAGUGAAUGAUAACAUUUUUUUUCAAGUGCAUUAAUUCUAAAGAAAAUGUAAGUGUAGGUACACUGGAAACAGAUGGGUCUAUUAGUUAAUGAAGACCAGGAAAAGGCAGAAAUUUUAAAUAACUAUUUUUCUUCUAUAUAUAAAUGAGGAUCCUAUGGCAAGAGAUAUGCAAAUGAUUGUUGCAAAAAUCUUGCAGAUAACUUUGGAUGAUUGGAUGACUCGAGACAAGGUGCUACAGCAGUUAAAGAAAAUUAAUGUUAAUAAAGCUCCAGGGCCUGACGGUAUUCACCCACGAGUUCUUAAGGAGCUAAGUGUGGAAAUAAGUGAACCUCUAUAUUUAAUCUUUCAAGAUUCCUUUCUCUCAGGAAUUGUACCGGAGGAUUGGAGAAGGGCAGAUGUUGUUCCUAUAUUUAAAAAUGGUUCAAAAUCAUUACCUGCAAAUUAUAGACCUGUGAGCUUAAUUUAUGUGGCUGGGGAUGUAGUUGAAGUGCUAUUAAGGGAAAAUAUUUGGGAAUUCAUUGGGAAGAACUUUGUUUUUAGAAAUAAUCAGAAUGGGUUUAUGAAACAUAGGUCAUGUCAAACUAACUUAUUGCAUUCUACGAAGAAGUAAGUGGAAGUAUAGAUCAGGGUGUUGCAGUGGUUGUGAUCUACUUGGAUUUUCCUCACAAUAGGUUAGUGUUCAAACUAAAAGAAAUUGGUCUAGAUUAAUAUUCUUGUUCUUGGGUAGAACAUUAAGGAUAGAGUACAACGAGUCGUCAUUAAUGGUAAAUUUUCUUACUGGACAAAAGUUGUAAGUGGUGUCCCUCAGGGUUCUGUUUUGGGACCACUUUUAUUUGACAUAUUUAUAAAUAAUCUUGCAACAGGCAUUAAAAGCCAUGUUUUAGUGUUUGCAGAUGAGACAAAGUUUGUAAAGUAAUACAAUGUGAUCAGGAUAUUGCUUUGCUGCAGAGGGACUGGGCACCAAAAUGGCAGAUGAAAUUUAAUGUAGAGAAAUGCAAAGUUAUGCACUUUGGCAUAAAAAAUGCA